UGGAAUGAUUUGGAUGUAAAUAUCGCUUGGACUAUCAAUUGGAGGGCAAGUCUGGUGCCAGCAGCCGCGGUAAUUCCAGCUCCUUAGUGUAUAUUAAAGUUGUUGCGGUUAAAAAGCUCGUAGUUGGAUUUCUGUUGGGUAUCGCGUGGUCUGCUCCUCGAGUACGUAUCUGCGUCGAUCCUGGCAUCCUCGCAACGCUCUGUGGCAUUAAUUUGGCUGCUUGGCUUGCGACUUUCACUUUGAGGAAAUUA
rnacentral:rRNA from 1 species